CAGCCAGUCGCGUGAAGGAAGAAGGAUCUAUGGUUCGUAAACUUCUUUUGCAGGGGAAUAAAGUGCAGGACGUGUCCUGUUUUGUAUGUACCCUGAGAAUAAGGAUCGGCUAACUCCGUGCCAGCAGCCGCGGUAAUACGGAGGAUCCGAGCGUUAUCCGGAUUUAUUGGGUUUAAAGGGUGCGUAGGGGGUUUGAUAAGUCACCGGUGAAAGUUUGCAGCUUAACUGUAAAAAUGCCGUUGAAACUGUCGGACUUGAGUGUAAAUGAGGUAGGCGGAAUGCGUGGUGUAGCGGUGAAAUGCAUAGAUAUCACGCAAAACUCCGAUUGCGAAGGCAGCUUACUAAGCUACAACUGACACUGAAGCACAAAAGCGUGGGGAUCAAACAGGAUUAAAUACCCUGGUAGUCCACCCAGUAAACAAUGAUUACUAGCUGUUUGCGAUACACAGUAAGCGGCACAGCGAAAGCGUUAAGUAAUCCACCUGGGGAGUACGCCGGCAACGGUG
rnacentral:rRNA from 1 species